rnacentral:rRNA from 1 species
UACGUAGGCAGCGAGCGUUGUUCGGAAUUACUGGGCGUAAAGAGUGUGUAGGCGGUGCUCUAAGUUCGGUGUGAAAUCUCCCGGCUUAACUGGGAGGGUGCGCCGGAAACUGGAGUGCUCAAGCGUGGGAGAGGAAAGCGGAAUUCCUGGUGUAGCGGUGAAAUGCGUAGAUAUCAGGAGGAACACCUGCGGUGUAGACGGCUUUCUGGACCAUUGCUGACGCUGAGACACGAAAGCGUGGGUAGCAAACAGG